ensembl:snoRNA
CGCAGCUGCGUCAAAUUCAGUGCCUGCCGCCCCCAUGGCAGACACUGGCCCCAAAGGCUGCCACAGGAACACUGUGACUCAUGGGCCCUGAGCCCCCCCUCCUGGGGCUGAGGGAUAAAUUUGGUUACAGACACCU